UACGUAGGUGGCAAGCGUUGUCCGGAAUUAUUGGGCGUAAAGAGCUCGUAGGCGGUUUGUUGCGUCGGCUGUGAAAUACCGAGGCUCAACCUCGGGUCUGCAGUCGAUACGAGCAAACUAGAGUGUUGCAGGGGAGACUGGAAUUCCUGGUGUAGCGGUGAAAUGCGCAGAUAUCAGGAGGAACACCGGUGGCGAAGGCGGGUCUCUGGGCAACAACUGACGCUGAGGAGCGAAAGCGUGGGGAGCGAACAGG
rnacentral:rRNA from 1 species